UACGUAGGGUGCAAGCGUUAAUCGGAAUUACUGGGCGUAAAGCGUGCGCAGGCGGUUAUGUAAGACAGAUGUGAAAUGCCCGGGCUUAACCUGGGAACUGCAUUUGUGACUGCAUGGCUAGAGUUUGGCAGAGGGGGGUAGAAUUCCGCGUGUAGCAGUGAAAUGCGUAGAUAUGCGGAGGAACACCGAUGGCGAAGGCAAUCCCCUGGGCCUGUACUGACGCUCAUGCACGAAAGCGUGGGGAGCAAACAGG
rnacentral:rRNA from 1 species